UACGAAGGGAGCUAGCGUUGUUCGGAAUCACUGGGCGUAAAGAGCGCGCAGGCGGUCGUUCAAGUCGAGUGUGAAAGCCCCCGGCUCAACUGGGGAGGGUCACUCGAUACUGAUCGACUUGAAGGCAGGAGAGGGAAGCGGAAUUCCCGGUGUAGUGGUGAAAUGCGUAGAUAUCGGGAGGAACACCAGUGGCGAAGGCGGCUUCCUGGCCUGCUCUUGACGCUGAGGCGCGAAAGCUAGGGUAGCAAACGGG
rnacentral:rRNA from 1 species